CGAAACCAGGUGAUCUACCCAUGUCCAGGAUGAAGGUAAGGUAAUACUUACUGGAGGUCCGAACCCACGCACGUUGAAAAGUGCGGGGAUGAGGUGUGGGUAGCGGAGAAAUUCCAAUCGAACUUGGAGAUAGCUGGUUCUCUCCGAAAUAGCUUUAGGGCUAGCCUCGAGGUAAAGAGUCAUGGAGGUAGAGCACUGUUUGGACUAGGGGCCCUUCUCGGGUUACCGAAUUCAGAUAAACUCCGAAUGCCAUGUACUUAUACUCGGGAGUCAGACUGCGAGUGAUAAGAUCCGUAGUCGAAAGGGAAACAGCCCAGACCACCAGUUAAGGUCCCCAAAUAUAUGUUAAGUGGAAAAGGAUGUGGGGUUGCUUAGACAACCAGGAUGUUGGCUUAGAAGCAGCCACCAUUGAAAGAGUGCGUAAUAGCUCACUGGUCGAGUGACCCCGCGCCGAAAAUGUACCGGGGCUAAACAUAUUACCGAAACUGUG
rnacentral:rRNA from 1 species